AACGAACGCUGGCGGCAGGCUUAACACAUGCAAGUCGAACGCCCCGCAAGGGGAGUGGCAGACGGGUGAGUAACGCGUGGGAAUCUACCCAGAUCUACGGAACAACAGAGGGAAACUUCUGCUAAUACCGUAUACGCCCUACGGGGGAAAGAUUUAUCGGAUUUGGAUGAGCCCGCGUAAGAUUAGCUAGUUGGUGGGGUAAUGGCCUACCAAGGCGACGAUCUUUAGCUGGUCUGAGAGGAUGAUCAGCCACACUGGGACUGAGACACGGCCCAGACUCCUACGGGAGGCAGCAGUGGGGAAUAUUGGACAAUGGGCGCAAGCCUGAUCCAGCCAUGCCGCGUGAGUGAUGAAGGCCUUAGGGUUGUAAAGCUCUUUCACCGAUGAAGAUAAUGACGGUAGUCGGAGAAGAAGCCCCGGCUAACUUCGUGCCAGCAGCCGCGGUAAUAC
rnacentral:rRNA from 1 species